rnacentral:rRNA from 1 species
UGGGGAAUUUUGGACAAUGGGGGAAACCCUGAUCCAGCCAUCCCGCGUGUGCGAUGAAGGCCUUCGGGUUGUACAGCACUUUUGGCAGGAAAGAAACGUCAUGGGUUAAUACCCCGUGAAACUGACGGUACCUGCAGAAUAAGCACCGGCUAACUCCGUGCCAGCAGCCGCGGUAAUACGUAGGGUGCAAGCGUUAAUCGGAAUUACUGGGCGUAAAGCGUGCGCAGGAGGUUCGGAAAGAAAGAUGUGAAAUCCCAGAGCUUAACUUUGGAACUGCAUUUUUAACUACCGGGCUAGAGUGUGUCAGAGGGAGGUGGAAUUCCGCGUGUAGCAGUGAAAUGCGUAGAUAUGCGGAGGAACACCGAUGGCGAAGGCAGCCUCCUGGGAUAACACUGACGCUCAUGAACGAAAGCGUGGGGAGCAAACAGG